rnacentral:rRNA from 1 species
AGUGAACGCUGGCGGCGGGCCUAAUACAUGCAAGUCGAGCGAACGCACAAGAAGCGUUCGCCUCUGACGUUAGCGGCUGGCGGGUGGGUGACACGUACAUCGCCUUCCUAUAAUACUUGGGGGACUUCGUGGAGCCACAUCUGAUACUGGCGAAUAUGUUGAACGGCAGGGUGCAGGAGUUAUUCGCAGUUUUCGUGUCACUUUGAGAUGAUGCCGUGCCGCAUUAGCUAGUUGGUAAGGUAACGGCCUACCAAGGCGACGAUGCGUAGCCGAUCUGAGAGGGUGAUCAGCCACACUGGAACUGAGACACGGUCCAGACUCCUACGGGAGGCAGCAGUAGGGAAUAUUGCGCAAUGGGCGCAAGCCUGAUCGAGUCAUGCCGCGUGAGUGAUGAAGGUCUUCGGAUUGUAAAACCCUGUUAUUAGGGAAGAAAAACAGCGUAAGAAAAUCUGGCUGUUCUGACGGUACCCAAUCAGAAAGCAACGGCUAACUACGUG